CAUUAAUCAACAGGUCAGCAAAAAAAAAAAAAACCCACAAUAACGUAUGUAUGAAUUCACAAAUAAAUUCCAUCCGCUGUCCUAAAGUGGAAAUCAUAGAACACAUAGAGUCAAACGACAGUAGAUCAUGACAAGUGGACGCAAUGUUCAGAAAUAUAACAAAAGAAAAGGUCACCCUUUGCAUAAAAGUUUCAAAUUCAUACAUGAAACAUAAAAGAAAAAAUGUUGAGUUAUACGAGAACAGGUCUGGCCUGCUAUCGGACUGUUUAAAGGUUCAACAGUAAUUAAGUAUUUGUACACAGUUACUUGCUACUAAUGCCGUGAACCACGGGAAAGCGGACGCCAAAUCUACUAAAAAUGGCCUCCAAUUCAUUUUCAAGUUAUUAAUGAGCCGCUCUGCCUGUCAGGUUUUAAGUUCCCCUACAAGUUUGUGUGUGCGCGCGGUGGCCAUAGAUCUCCGUUUCUCCCUCUCCAGGUCAACUCUGCAAUCUCCUGCAGCUUUGUACUCAAGCCUGACCGUCCAUCUUGUCUUUUUAAAAGCUGCUGUUACGAGCCUGGGAAGGCCUCAUUUGGGAGUCUGCUUUAGAUACUGCAGACGGUCAAAUGCGGGAAGUACAUACGUGAGUAAUAUUUACAGCAAAGAGUAGUCAGAGGGUGCUUAUUUAUUUGAUUUACAAAACAUAUUUUACCUCCCUCAACGCACGUCGCGGUCACUGUGAUUUGACGGGCGCGGGUCAUCGCACUCGCAAAUCUGCACAGGCGAGCACGAAAAAUCACGCGCGUAAAAUUUGCUACGAGUAGAAAUACAUAGAAAUUGAAAGACGUCGCCUAUUUAGUGUAGUCUUGACCAAUGUUUCCGUCCUCUAAGCUGCGCCACUGCGCAAUUGCGCACUUGCCGCACAUUCUCAGCGCACGUGAAAACCGAUCCAGCGCAGUGAACCGCAGCACACCACACGGUCUCUUCCAACGAGUUGAUGCUCAGCCUACCUCUACUUCCUAGUUUACCUGACACCGCCCCCCUCCGCUCUUAAAGGGGUACACGCAUAAUUACAAACAGAACACACACCUGCAACUUUAUAUCCGCGGGCAUGGCUGGUGGACCACACCUGUAACUUUAUAUCUGCGGGCAUGACUGACCACACCCGUACAUUUUUCAUAUGUGAAUAACUGCCAUCGUGUACCAAUUGCUUGCUCUUUGCUAUAAAUGUCUCUUUCAAAUCAAAAAUUGUUCUUAAAUUAAUCCCAUGGUGGGUCAUCCACCGAAGAGAAGUAAAACCCUCCCUCAAAUAGAUGUCUGAUUUCAAUUAGUUCUCAUCAUUUUCAAAAUAAAUUCCUCCAUCAAGUAGAAACCGUUUCCAAAUGGAUCACCGGGUCGGUCAUCCACCUGAGAGAAAUAAACACCUCUUUCAAAUAUCUCCAAUUAGUCUUUGCUUGCACCGUCGACUCGCGAUCAAUAAAUGCCUCCCUCCAAUAUAAGCCGGGUCCAAAUCAGUCGCCGGACUGUCAGUCCCUUGAAAAUAGUCCGUUGCCAGCUUGGUCCUCCACUGAAAGUAACUAAACGCUUCACUCGGAUAGCGGACAACCGGCCCCAAUUAAUCAGAGAAUUGAUAUAAACGCCUCCGUCAAGUAAAUCCCUGGUCCAAAUCAGUACAGCUUUCGUUACCGUGGCCACCGCGGCCGAAUUAGGGGGUUGCGACGAGGCUAGCGGCUCGCGUUUGCCGAAGUGGAACCCAGACUGUAAAAAUAAUAACAAUAAAAAAAAUACUUCAAAACAAGCACUUUGCAUUCCGCUCGAUGAGUGCCGCCCCAUUGUAGGAAAUAACGGCGGGACGGAAAAAUCCGGAUCUCCGUCCGGCGCGUCCAGCUGCCGCUCUGUCUUGAAUUUCCACCAUGCUGCACUUUCAAAAAGAGGAGAUUGGAUUUCCAUCGUGCAUUUUUUUUUUUUUUCCUUUUCCCCCCCUCGCAUAAAAGAUUUAUCUCCACGUCGUCCUCCCCGAUAGCCGCCUGGCUCUUACCGGAGACGGCGGGGCCCGUGAGCGGCGCUACUUUUUGCAACGGCGCUAUCGGUUUCACAUAUGGCCGCUUGGCCCGGUUUUUAACGCAAGCUCUGGGUUUGGUUUUUUUUUUUCCCCCACUUCAAUGGUGUCGGCUCGAGACGGGGUCAACUUUACAGCCGAAGGUGAGAAAGGCGGCGCUUUACUGGCCUGGUUGAGCUGUAAAAUUGCAGAGGUUCUCUUGUAAAUCUCGCGGUGGCAAAAGCGAUGCUUUCAAUUUCAUUUUUCAAAUUUUGAUUUUAAUGUGUCAACGCUGAACAGCAGCAAAAUUCUUUACAAUGCUUUUGCUGACAAAUGCUGAUGCAUUUAUCGACCGAUUCGAACUAUUCUGACGUCAAAAUAAUUUGGGACGUCUGUGCUAUUACUUGACCCGCAAAUCCCACUUUUGUCCCAAUUCCAUAUUUGCCCCCCCCCCCCCCACACACACACACACACACACAUUAACAUUAAUGGAGAAAUUGAACGAAUUGAAUAUUUCUGAAGCGAUUCAAAUUAUUCGAGUGUCAAAAUAUUACACUAAUUCACGACAUCACAGGAUUGUUUCUCACAUUUUGAGAAAAGGGGGGGGGUUAAACUAAUAAGGACGAGAUGGUGGAUCAGAUGGAAAGUGUUGGCCUCACAGUUCUGAAGUCCCGGGAUCAAUCCAUGUUCUCCCCUUGCCUAUGUGAGUUUUCUUCGUCCACUCCGGUUUCCUCACACAUCCCAAAAACAUACAACAUUAAUUUUACACUCUAAAUUGCCCCUAGGUGUGAUUGUGAGUGCAGCUAUUUGUCUCGAUGUGCCCUGCGAUUGGCUGGCGAGCAGUUCAGGGUGUACCCCGCCUCCUGCCCAACGACAGCUGGGCUAGGCUCCUGCACUCCCCGCGACCCUUGUGGGGAUAAGCAGCUAAGAAAAUGGCUGGAUGGAUAAACUAAUUCAGUUCAGGGUAUAGUCCGCCUUUCGCCCGGAGCUAGCUGCGAUAGGCUUACAGCUUUCCAGCAACAUUUGUGAGGAUAGGCGGCUUGGAUACUGACAUGACAUGAUAACCUCUGUUAACUUCAUAACAUUUUCAAUUUCAAAAGAUAAAAGCUAAAAAAUUUAACAAUUUGUAAAGUAAUUUCAAAUCAGUCUAAAUAUGUUCAACAUUCCAAAAAAUUUCCACAUGUAUGAAUGGAGAACUUGAGAAUUUCUUUUUUUUUUUUUUUACAUUCCCAUACAUCCAACAUCAAAAUAUUAAUUUUACUAGCAACAAAAGCAUUCAUAUUGAUGCAGAAAUUUGAAAAAAUCAUCUUAAAAAACAGCAUUCAUGCACCAAUUUAAAUCCUUCAAACUCCAGAAUGUUCAACAUCCUAAAAAUUCUUUUCUCCGUCAUCUAUAAAACCAUAAACUGAUUUUAAUCACUGACUUUUGAACUGUUCAACAUUGUCAGAACGCCACGUUUUCCAUGAGAAAAAUAGUCCCAAUAAAAAACAAAAAUGAAUUAACUUUCACAAUAAUACAACUCCACAUUUUCCACGACAAAAUUCCCCAAUUAAUGGAAAGAUUUAAUCAAUCCAAUUCAAGCUAAUCGAACUCGAAAACGCUCAAACGCCCGACGAGUCGCAAGCCCCCAACCCCCCCGGCGUGGUCGCCGUCGCCGCGGAGCGCCUUCGCGGCACGGCGCGAAUUCCCGAGAUUACCGCAAAUGACGAGUAAUCCGAGGCUCCCUGGAUUCGGGAGAGGUUUGGGAUUAAGGGUUCAAGUUGCAGUUGACGUGGCGGAACGUCCGCUUCCCGCUCGGAGCGGCGAGGCGAAACGGGGGGUUGGGGUGGGGGGUGUUGCUCUGUGGGAAAGAGGAAAAGAUAAGAUAAGAAGUGACUUCUCAUUUUUCCCCCAAUUAAACGGGGAAAUGAGAUUGGAAUGGACUAAAGUGUCUCCCGGGACGCAUUCCAACUUCAAAACAUUUGGUUUGAUUUAAAGCAGAGGGCGCAAACGGUUGCUUUGGCUCCUGUGCUCCCCCUACGGGCUGGAAAUGGAAUUUGCUUUUCAGUUCCUAAAGAAAUAGAAGUAUUAGACUGGGUCAAAUUUGAACGUUUAUGUUUCAUAUUAAAGGGGACAUGUCACAUUGAUGUUUCAGUUGCUUGAGUUUGUAAUCGUGUAAUUACAUAAUUAGGAAAGUGCAACAUCAAUAAUUUGUCUUUUAAAGAAACAAACAAUGCAGACCAGUGCAAUGUUUGUUUUUUAACUGCAGAGGAAGUGCUACACCAGUAUUUUUAUGAACAAAAAAGAUAUAAGAGAAAGAAAUAAGAGCAGUCUGUGUUCGAGUCCGAGCAUCAGCGAGCCAUGACACCGCGAUUAUUUACAAUGGAGAUGUGGCAAGAAGGUGAAGAAAUAUAAAUGUUGCGGUUUAUCAUUUGUGUCCCUGCUAUUUAGCUAAAUGUUUGAAACAAGUGUUGCGUUAUUACUUUGUAAUUACUGUCAUGUCCUUGCAUGUGCCGGUGCACUUUUCGGCUAUUUAUUCACUUUUCAGCCAUUUAUUAAACAUUUAGAGAACAGUCGACAGUCCACUUAAACAUAAAUGACGCACUCACGCAGGAUCUGCUGUCGGCCACAGCUCGCACCUAGACGCUCACACACAACCUUGAGGCCGUCACACCAAGGGUGACGGAGGGGAUGCAACAUGGGAGACGUGAUUGUCACAUUGAUUAACUCUUCACUGUGACAAUAAACUCUGUACCACCGGGAGCCUGACAUGUCUGACACCGCUGGAGAGUCUCUGAAGGAAAUGCGCGGCGGUCCCGCCUCAAACGCGCGGAGCUGAGUCACGCCGUCAGCUGCGAAAAGCUGCCAAUUUGUCCUCACCUAUUUGUCGGGCUGACGUCACGGCGGGAUUUACGCGCCUCCGUCGGGCCGCCCCGCUGCGUCUUGCUGGCUCCGAAAAGCCAUGCGAACAGGAAGCCGCGGGGGCAGACGAUCAAGUGCCACCUUCCCUCCUGCAGGAGAGCGUGCGGCGGUGAGACCCAAGGCCAACAACGCGCCCACGGCUCACAUCCUCUGUGGAAGCAAAGCCCUGAUACGUCCGAACGGAAACCGGCCGCAGUUAUUCGAGGGCGGCACCCAAACUAUUGUGUGCUGAAUGAACACUUCAGGGCCUUUCGCACCAGCAGAACCGGCAACUGGAGUCCAAAGCCUCGGUUCUCCAACGUCCGCGUUCUCGGACAAAUCUGUUUUCGAGCGAAAAUUUUGUGUUUUUUGGGGUUUUUUUUUGCUUGUUUUCGAACAAAAAUCGGUACUGGAACGCCCACACAAAACCCGGAAAUAACAGAACACGCACGGCCAGACCAGCUGAAACCACGACGCGCUUUGUUGUGAAUUCCCACCCCGCUGAACAAACCCGGAAAUAACAGAAUGCGCGCGGCCCGACCAGCUGACCCACCCACGACGCGCUUUGUUAUUGUCAAUUUGAACGAACCCCUGGAAAAACACGGAAAUAACAUAAGGUGGACGGUCCGACCAGCUGACGCACCCACGACACGCUUUGUUAUUGUCAAUUUGAACGAAAACCCGGAAAUAACAUAACUCGCGCGGUGGUUGAUUCAGUUUUCGAACAAAUCAGAUUUCGACCCGCCUUCUGGAACGGAUUGCUGGCGAGAACCGAGGCUCUUCUGUACACCAAACAAGAACUGUUCUGAACUUCCCUGUCCAAACAUCCCCAAACAACUUGAACCAAUCCGACGGUAGUUCUCACGUAGACAACGCAAUGUUGCGCCAUUUCUCCACAAUAGUCACUUGUUUUUGUUUUCAGUGUCAUAAAUAAAUAGCUGUACACCGUUGACAUUAGACAAGAAAACAGUUGUGAGGUGAAACAUUGAACCUGGGAACAGGUGCAGUUCUCUGGCACGUUGGUUUUCCAAGUGGUUUUACUUGAGCUUUAAAACAAGUUUGUGAUAAACCAAUAAACUCCUCCCGACCUUAGUUUUGGGUCUGUCAAAAGCUUAUGAUGAUUGUGAUGUAUUAUGUUAGUAAUACAUCACAUUGUCUGUGAUGAACUGGGUACAAUUCUGGGGCAGUACCACAAGUUUAGAAAACGGCUGGACGGAAAGUGUAGGCAUAAGGUCGAGCUACAAUAAAUACAGCAAAUUAUGCUAAUAACUUUAUUAGUGGGACCAACAUGGCA